rnacentral:rRNA from 1 species
ACGAACGCUGGCGGCGUGCUUAACACAUGCAAGUCGAACGGAAAGGCCCCUUUGGGGGUACUCGAGUGGCGAACGGGUGAGUAACACGUGAGUAACCUGCCCUUGACUUCGGGAUAACUUCAGGAAACUGGGGCUAAUACCGGAUAGGAAUCCUUGCUGCAUGGUGGGGGUUGGAAAGCUUCGGCGGUUUUGGAUGGACUCGCGGCUUAUCAGCUUGUUGGUGGGGUAGUGGCUUACCAAGGCUUUGACGGGUAGCCGGCCUGAGAGGGCGACCGGCCACAUUGGGACUGAGAUACGGCCCAGACUCCUACGGGAGGCAGCAGUGGGGAAUAUUGCACAAUGGGCGGCAGCCUGAUGCAGCAACGCCGCGUGCGGGAUGACGGCCUUCGGGUUGUAAACCGCUUUCAGCAGGGGCGAAGCUUGUGGUGACGGUACCUGCAGAAGAAGCACCGGCUAACUACGUG